AAAAUAGUCAAAGAAUAGACAAGCAGCUGCAGUGAGCAUUUCUAACACUAGAUUUUAUGCCAUCCCUCUCCCCUCCAAAAAAGUGAACUGUUUAUCAAGAAGAUACUAUGUAUCUACUUUUAUGAAGUUAUUAUCUCUUUUCUUUGUUAUCCCUCAGCCCUUGAGAAAUGGAAGGAAAAGGGAAACAACACAGGCCAAAGCAUCAGAAAACCAUUUUGUUCUGGUUUUAUGCUCCUUUCUCUAGCCAGACUCUGACAGCAUCCUGGUUUUUCUGCAUUAAGGUCAUUUUAUAGUUAUGACAAUUAAAAAUAUCUCCCAACAUCACCAAGCAUUUCCAUUUGAGAACCACUGGGAUAGAAGUACCAAGUUUACCCAGACUUAUAGAAUGUGUCCUUCCAGGAUCCAGACUGAGAGCUUGUGAUGCUUAACCCAUUGUUAGCUAGUUUUGUUUACCUGGUACCACAGAAUUCUAUAGUUACAUAAAUCAGCAGGGGAAGCACUGGGGAAGACAACCAUUGGU
rnacentral:lncRNA from 1 species